CCUACGGGAGGCAGCAGUAAGGAAUAUUGGUCAAUGGACGAAAGUCUGAACCCAGCCAUGCCGCGUGAAGGAUGAAGGCCCUCUGGGUUGUAAACUUCUUUUAUCUGGGACGAAAAAGGGUAUUCUUACCCACUUGACGGUACCAGAGGAAUAAGCACCGGCUAACUCCGUGCCAGCAGCCGCGGUAAUACGGAGGGUGCAAGCGUUAUCCGGAUUCACUGGGUUUAAAAGGGAGCGUAGGUGGGCUGAUAAGUCAGUGGUGAAAUCUCCGGGCUUAACCCGGAAACUGCCACUUGAUACUAUUAGUCUUGAAUUUAUCUGGAGGUAAGCGGAAUAUGUCAUGUAGCGGUGAAAUGCUUAGAUAUGACAUAGAACACCAAUUGCGAAGGCAGCUUGCUACGGAUUGAUUGACACCUGAGGCUCGAAAGCGUGGGGAUCAAACAGGAUUAGAUACCCUGGUAGUCCACGCCCUAAACGAUGGAUACUCGACAUCAGCGAUACACUGUUGGUGUCUGNGNGAAGANAUAGUAUACCACCUCGGAGACGACCGACGAGUAGUAACGUACGAAGAAGUAGAGCGNGAGAGUGACGACGACGACACGAGGGAGGAGG
rnacentral:rRNA from 1 species